AAAAGAUUUGCCAGAGAUGAAAACCAACCUGCUCCUCACGUUCUUCUUUAUCGACAGAGAUGAAAAAAGCAAAAUAAAGAAAAGAUUUGCCAGAGAUUAGCAAGGCGAUCUCCUUUAUCGACAGAGGGUAAAACGCUCGCCGACGGGAAGAAGAAGAAAACCCUAAAAAUUGCAAGAGAAAAAACGCCUCACCACUGCACGGUUGUGGGCCUGCAGCCUUGCCCUUCACUCGCCAGUUCGCCCCUUCGCCUUCGCGGCUUCGCCCUCCGGCAGUUUUACUUUCGCCAUUCGGUUUCGAACUUUCGAGUGAAUUUGGGCGGGCUGCGGGCAGACAGAAUCAAUUGCCAAUUGGGCGAACUUUCGGGUGAAUUUGGGCGCCUUAUGUUUUCUGGAGGCUGGAGCUGGACCAAUUGUUGGACCCGAUCCAUGUUUGGCGUGGGCAGCAACAUGGCGUCAACACGGGCAUGAGGCAGAGACGCUCCACUAAACUGUGGAGGUUUUUUUGGCACGCUGGCUCCGCCACUGUCUGCCCGCCCUUCCGCUACAAGCAUCAGAAGUAGCCAUUCAUCGCGGCCGAUGGCAACAAGGCUACCCUCUCCAUUGGCAAUAUCCACCACUCCGAUCCAUUCCCAAGAGAGCCGUCUAUGCAACAUCGAGCACCAUGUCGGCGACUACAGUGUUUUCGCUCGAACCUCCAAGGACUACGCUAUCGUCAUCCGCUAUAACCCCGACACUGGAACCACGAGUGGGAUACUGUUGGGCUGGAAAACUUCAAGGCCAUUUCCAGCAGAUAUUACCAUGGCACUCAUGGUGUUAUUCUGCUACAAUUGAAAAAAUGUUGUAUUUCUCUUCUUUGGAAGGUAGUCUAUGAUGUCAUCGACUAGGAGGGCAUUAACAUUGUCAAACAGCCGGUGCAUAAACAAGGUUCAGCUAUUCGAAGACCAGCAAAAUUUUCAGUUGUAGCAGUAGUUGAAGCUUGUCUAGAUAGUGUGCGGAAGCAUUGUCAGAAGUUAUAAUGGUGAGUUUCAAUGGUGGCAACUGUUUCCUGGUGAAUGGGAGGAAGAGCCCAUCUUGGCAAAUCAAUUUUCGGAGGAUCCAGUGCUUUUGACUCCUGAAGCAGCAAAUGAGAAGCCUUAUGUUGCAAUAAUUAAGGUAAGUUUGUUCUUCUGCUUCUUAAGGGGGCAUGGAAUACGGUGAUAUGUUUGGUUGGUUGGUUUUCUUGCAUUGGCAUUCAAGUUCACAUGAGCCAUGUCAAGAUCAUACAAGGAAGAGAUCUGUAAAGGCUAAAGAGUACUAAUAUUCAUAAUUAUUUGAUUUAAAGUGUUGUUUUCAUAAGCUUUCUGUUUCCUACAGGAACUUUUACCUCUCUUAAGAUGAAGCUACUGAAAAUUUCAAAUGUAAUUUUGUACCUGACUAUAGUUUUUUUGAGUUGCUUUUUGAGGCCAAUUGUAAAUUUGUUUAUAACUACAGUCAUUUGAUUUAUUUUUUAUGCUAAUUGUAAAUUUGUUCAUAUUCAGUCAUCCAAUUGACUAUUUUGAUGUCAUUGUCCAAUUGUAAUUUUGUCCAUAACACUAAUGAUACAAUUUGCUUGUUGGGACCUA